UAUCAUGAGAUUUAUCAUGACUGGCAUCUGUCGGUCUUCCAUCCUACCACUCUUCCAUCCUACCACUGAAAACACCCAGCCCCAUCUUCUUCGUUUUCUUCUUCUUUCUGCUCACUUUGCUUGCUCUAUGAAUGUAUUCACCUACUCCUUCUGUCUGAGAAGGGAGAAGAUUGGUUCAGUAGAGUGAGAGGAGAGAAGAUCAAAGCGACAGAAAGAGAGACAGCCUGAAUGGAAGGGGAACCAGCGAUCGCCUACGGUGGGCCACAACGUUGAUGUCCUCCCGUUCCUCCUUCUUCAGUCCGUUAAGAAACGUCGCUCCCUUCAAUUUCGAUUCCGGCGAACCGUCCAUCGGAAUCCAUGCUUGAUGCUUGACGUCUGAAAUUACAGCUCUGACCGGUAUGUUUCAGCAACUAGGGCUCGAAUUUUAAUGACUUUUGGGUAAAUCUUUACAAUUUGAGGUAUGGCGUUUAUGUUUUCAGAUUGCAUGUACAAAUUGACAUGCACUUUGGGUCUCACUGGGGUUGAUUGUAGAUUCCGCUGUUCUCUUUGCUUUUCAUCGAAGAUAAAUGAUUUGGACCCAGUAAAAGAGAUUUCCAUGGAGGUAUUGAUUGAUAGAAGAAAAAGAUAAAAAUUAAUCGUUCUACUUUCUUUAGUUGGAUGAUUAGGAGUCUGUAUUUCUUAGUUUCAUCAUGCUGCCUUGGAAGCGCCCCACAUCAUGGCAUGUUGCCUAGCACUGAGAUUAUUUCAUUUGUGGGGCGGAAAUCAAGCAAUCGCUAGCCAGAUUUGAGUUGUUCGAUUCCUAAAGUGCCCUUUGGCACUGUAGAUAAGGCCCAACGUCAAUUGUUAACACCAAUAGACGGUACAGAGGAUGGUGAUCCUCAUGGUGGUGUUUGUUUCCCUGUUUGUAAAGCGGUGAUAGUUCAGUCGAUACAACACGCUCGUCGGCUAGGGUUUAUAACUCAGAGGGGGAUAACAUUGGGAUAACAUGUCUAAACAUGAGGAUAAAAAACAUAGAGGAUGGCAAAAACCUAAAUUCGGCGUUAAUUGGUCGUCUUCUUCAAUUGGAUUGUUUUAUUUCUCUGAUUUCUUUUUGUUGCCUACGAUCUUUGUUCUUAAGUUCAUCUUUGAUUUCUGUUCGCCUUCUUCGUUGGUGUUCUUUGAUUAACAAUCAGGUUUGAUUUCUACUCUCCAGCCUUCAUAUCAGUUAAGGUUAGAUUCUUUUUUUUUUCUAUAGGAACUGGGAACUAUGUUUACUUUUUUUUAUCUUGAUGUUUCAUACGGAAUCUGUGAGGUGUUAUGUGAUAUGAUUUGAAGAAUAAAACCCUAAGAUUAUGUAAAGUUUUAAGCCUCUAUUUUUACAGCGUUGGAUUGUAGUUAGAAUCAGCACAGAUUUUUAACUUCACAAAGCUUUUCAUGACUUUUUUAAGUGUUUGGUUAUUAAAAAAGCUUUUCAAGCUGUUGUAAAAAGCACCCCUGAUGUUCACUUUUGGUUUGAUCUAAUUCACAAUUGUUCAAGUAACUACAAGACUAUAAUAAAUUGUUUAUCGUAUGAUUUUUCAAUGAUGUAGAUUUCUAUUCUUGAGACUCUUGAUGGGCCUUUAUUUGAGAGUAGUUCAAUUGCUUGCUAUGGUGAUGGAUAAUGGAUGUGUUCUCUUGGGCUCUUCUGAAAUAGAAUAUGUUAUUUCUAUUUUCUUUUCUAUGUUUUAUGUGUUACAUGGAACAUUCUUAUAUAUACAAAGCUUAUAUAUAUUUAAAUAUAUUUACAGGGCCAAACUGAGCAAUGGAUUGACUUUUCUUUAUUUGAGUUUCAUGCACAUAUUAGAUGAUGGUUAUAUCCAAGAUUGGGAUAUGGCAAUUACAUUAGACCUGUUGAGCACAUAGUUGGUGAAGUCAACCAAGUAGAGGGCUGUUCUUUCUCUUACUUCGGCAAAAAAAAAAAAAAAAACCAGGCGAAACCAAAACCCAAGCCCAGGAAAAAAGUUAGAAAGAGGAGGCACCCAAACCUGUGGUCCAACCUACAGAGGAAGAAGAGGCACCAGAGCCUAAGCCAAAGACAGUAUAGCAAAGAAUGAACCGAUACCAAAGCAAGCCGUAAAGAAACGAAUCGAUACCCACGGGAUUUCAAGAAAAGAAUCGAUACUAACUGGAUUUCAAGAAAUAAAUUGAUACCAACUGUAUAUUUGGCGCGAAGCGCCGGGAAUUUUACUAGUUUAUAAUAUUUAAAGUAUUAGAUCAAA